rnacentral:rRNA from 3 species
GGACUACACGGGUAUCUAAUCCCGUUUGCUCCCCUAGCUUUCGCGCCUCAGCGUCAGUAGAGAUCCAGCCCGCCGCUUUCGCCACCGGCGUUCCUUCUGAUAUCAACGCAUUUCACCGCUCCACCAGAAGUUCCGCGGGCCCCUACCUCCCUCGAGCAAAUCAGUAUCCAAGGCACUUCUCCAGUUGAGCUGGAGGAUUUCACCCCGGACUUGAUCUGCCGCCUACGCGCCCUUUAAGCCCAGUGAUUCCGAACAACGUUCGCACGGUUCGUCUUACCGCGGCGGCUGGCAC